CUCAUCAAUAGAAACGAAUUAAGUUCAAACAGCAGGUAAUUGCUAUAAGUCGUUGAAGAGUACCCUCGACUAUCUUUCGUCUCCAUCAUCAGACUGAAAUGGCACUUAUAACUCAUAUAUAUGCAAAGUUCUCAUCAAUAGAAACGAAUUAAGUUCAAACAGCAGGUAAUUGCUAUAAAUUGUUGAAGAGUUCCCUCGACUAUCUUUCUUCUCCAUCAUCAAAUCGACUCC
rnacentral:misc_RNA from 1 species